rnacentral:rRNA from 1 species
UUAAAUUGAAGAGUUUGAUCAUGGCUCAGAUUGAACGCUGGCGGCAGGCCUAACACAUGCAAGUCGAACGGUAACAGGAAACAGCUUGCUGUUUCGCUGACGAGUGGCGGACGGGUGAGUAAUGUCUGGGAAACUGCCUGAUGGAGGGGGAUAACUACUGGAAACGGUAGCUAAUACCGCAUAAUGUCGCAAGACCAAAGAGGGGGACCUUCGGGCCUCUUGCCAUCGGAUGUGCCCAGGUGGGAUUAGCUUGUUGGUGGGGUAACGGCUCACCAAGGCGACGAUCCCUAGCUGGUCUGAGAGGAUGACCAGCCACACUGGAACUGAGACACGGUCCAGACUCCUACGGGAGGCAGCAGUGGGGAAUAUUGCACAAUGGGCGCAAGCCUGAUGCAGCCAUGC